GAGGAAUUGCUUCCAGUUAUUCAGCAAGUCAUUUGCUCAUCAAAUGAACACAUGCAAUGUACUGUGUACUGUUGACAGUACAGCACAAGGAUCCAGGGAUGACUAAGGCUCCUCUCCUACCAUAGAAAAUCCCAGAGACCAGUAGAGGAGACAAGUGCUUGAAACAAAUGACAAAAGCUAUUGUGUUAAGUAGUGAAUCUCCUCUUUUCCUCAGGCCCACUUUGGCCUCUGACAGCACAGGGUUGAUGAGUCAGCCUGUUUUCAUGUGAAAACAUCUAUCUGGUCCCCCCAAAGACUUCUCUAAACAUUCUUCUGAUAUGAGUGAACAGCAUUCCAGUACUUAAUCCUUACAGACUUUCGGAGGAACUCCCUCACAUCACCCACAGUAGAAGUAACAUGAGAAAGCACACAGUCAUCUCUUGCAUCCAUGUCCUAUCCAUGCUUUUGCAUUGCUGACAAGUGACGGGUGGGCUCUGACAUCAGGAGAUGCAAAUGGCUGAUGAUUCAGACAGUUGUUUGUGGGAUGCAGACAGACCUGUGAGGCAUGUUGCAAAACACCAGCAAGAGAUCCAAGGCUCACUCCUGGGGCUGACUCUGAUUAGACCCUUGCUGACCACAGUUCAAGUAGAUGAAAAGGGUGAGUGUAUUCUGAUGGAAUUCUCCUUUGGUUUUCCCUCUGGGGCUGAUGGGAGGGGACAAGUCCAUUUGUCCUGUUUUACAAGUGCGAUGUAUUUUGCUCUUAAAAAGGAAGAGCUUGCCACAUGCCAUAUACCCCACUAUUAGUCAAGCAGUGGAAAGAACUCAAUACAGACUAAAAAGUACAAUGCCCAAAGGGACAC
rnacentral:lncRNA from 1 species